AGCCUAGGGGCGUCGGGUGGGGGGAAGGGUCUUAAAACUACGCUUACCAAAAAUUAAAAUGUCAAAUGUCCGUAGCACAGAAGGGCAUAGUGGGGGUUGCUUGAGUGAAUCUGGUUCCAUUACUAAGUCUGAGUCUCCCUUGAGUGAGUGCAGACCACCCCACCCCCACCCCACCAUUUCUUGGGCGUGGACAGCGACAAGACCGAGACCUCUUCCUUUUCCAGUACCCUCCCCCGACCGACGCUGGCUACUCAACUAGAGGAGCCCAGGCUCUCGCCUUGCAGUGCACGCCCUCCAUGCCCCAGUGUAUUGUCCGCAGUGCCCUGGCGCCUGCCCGCCCUUGGCUGCCCUCACUAGCUGCUUCACUCUCCACCCCCGUGCCUUUUCCAACCCUGAGGAGCCUAUGUCCCCCGAAGGCUAUGGCCCCUUCCUCCAGUAGGAGCCUUUUCUCCAUCAUCCCCAUCAGCGCCCUUCCGGGGAAGCGGGAACAGCCGAGAAUUGGCCAGGUGGAUGGGUGGAGUCGGCAGAGCCGAGGAUGCUGCGGGAGUAGCCAUGGGAUUAAAUAACAACAGGGUUCUUGAGCCGCAGAGGAAAUGGAAAUGGCCGGGGGUCCUUUCUUUGCAGUUAACGAUGCUGAUGGGGUUAUCCCAUCAGCCUAGGCCGUUGAAAAAGAAAAGCCCCAGCCUUUAGGCCUGACUCUGUGAAGGCGAGGAGCCCUCACAACAGCCUCAGGCCCAGCUCCGCCCAGGAAAGGAGGAUGCUGUAGCCUGGGGGGCACGGAGGGGGAAGUCCAGCGUUGGGGGUGGCUUUGAUACAGGGAUGUGAGCUGGGCCAGGGCCUGAAUCCCCCUGUUUCUCUUGCUGGUGUUCUGGCUUCACUGCCAGAGUUUGUGAGCUGCCCUUUUUCUUUCUACGCCACCAAAGGACUGCGCUUGGCUGUUGUCAAAAGAGCCAAUGAAAGGCUCCCAGUCCAGGCCAGAAAUCUGGCCUGGGGCUGGGGCUGGGACUGGGGCUGGGGCUCAGGAGACUGGCUGCAGAGGGACAUUUUGCAAACCCAGACUAGAACUCAAGGUUACAGAGUCUCAGUCUAAAAUGUCUUCUCACUACUCAGAUGUAGCUUUGCAGUGUGAUUUACUUGACUCAGCUCCUGGGAGCAGAGCUCCCCCUCGCCUAGGGGACCUCAGUCUUUGAGGGCCAAGACCUUACUUAAAGUCAAAAGAAAAACUCUUUACUACGGUAGUAGAGAGUAUUACAGUUGUUGAGGAUUUCUCUUUGCAGGUACUGAAGUUCAGUGUCAUUAUUACCAUUUGUCAGAUGUAGGAAUUGAGGCCAAGCGUCCUUUACCUGCUCAGUGGAAGAUCUAGUGAAUAUAGUGCUGAUUUUCCAGAUCUUUGCAACCUAGCUCUCUCUACUUUGCUACCACCCCUUCUCAGCAUCGCAAACAUAAAAACCUGGUGUUUUGUUAAGUCAUUUAAGCACACUAAACAAGGAAAGUUGGAGCAGUAAUUUUGCAGCCAGUGAUCUCUCUGGGAUUUGCUUGAACAAUUAAAAGGAUGGCAGUAAAUACAUCCUUUCUAAACCAUCAAAGGAAAGCAAGAUGGUGGUAGUAGUUUGGGUUGGCUGUGCUCUUUCCUUUCUUUAGGGGAUUUAGCCAAGAGACAGACGGGGUUCCAUUCCUGAUCUUUUCCCAGCCUUCCUGAAGCAUGAGGUGAAGAAAGCACAGCCUUGGUGGGAUGGUGAGAAGAAGGAGGAGCCCCCAGCCCUGGCCUGGGAGGAGCCUCUGAUGUGAAGCUACUGGAGGACCCACUGCCAAAAUCAAGAUGUAAAUCAAGAGAGCAGAUACACAGGAAUGACUACUUGGAGCUCAGACAGAGACAGAGAGACAGAGCAUGAGUGGGAGAUGGGUCAGAGAAAAAGAGGGAGACACAGAAUCCGAAGCAGGCUCCAGGCUCCAAGCUGUCAGCACAGAGCCCGACACAGGGCUCGAACUCACAAACCGCGAGAUCAUGAACUGAGCUGAAGUCGGAUGCUUAACUGACUGAGCCACGCAGGUGCCCCACCUCUAUCAUACUUUUUAUUCCUACGUUUUCUAGCUUCAUAUUCUUUGCUCCCUUCUUCAUAUAAUUUUCUAAAAUAAUCUUCUGUGGAGAGACUAAAAGAUAAUUCAGCCUUUUUUCUAGCAUGGUUGAUCAAAAUUUGUCUUUUUCUUGUAGUUUUAUAGUUUUAUUAACACAAACACGAUGUGCACAUAAGCUGUCUGUUCAUUUUCUUUGCUGUGCAGCCUGGCAUUGGGAUUGGUCACUGUGAUGGCCAGCGGGGCUGCUCUCUCCACAGUGGUUCUGCGGUUCCUGGAGGAGAUGCUGUGAAGCAAUCUCUGUACAGUAAGAUCUGUUGCACAUCAGCAGCACUUCAAGCUCUUGUCAGUGCCUCUGGGUUUCCGCCAGUUGUGCUUGAUUUCGACAUGUCAGUCUGACUGGUGUUGGAUGAAUUUCUUGGUUCUCUUUUUUUUUUAAUGUUUAUUUAUUUGUGCGUGCGUGUGUGUGUGUGUGUGUGUGUGAAACAGAGAGAGAGAGAGAGAGAGAGGGAGAGAGAGAAAGCUCGAGUGGGGGAGGGACAGAGAAAGAAGGAGAGAGAAUCCCAAGCAGGCUCUGCCCUGUCAGCACAGAGCUCGACUCGGGGCUCCAUCUCAUGAACCGUGAGAUCAUGACCUGAGCCAAAAUCCAGAAUCAGAUGCUUAACUGACUGAGCCACCCAGGCGCCCCUUCUUGGUCCUCUUUUUAACAAUCUUGGGCUUCACCAGUGGUUUGAGGGCAGCCAUGGGGCCAAGUAAGAGGUGGCUGGUGAGAUUUGUCUUUUGUUAUUAACAGUUGAGAUGCAGGAAAUGAGCGAAUUCACAUAGCUACAUGCACCGUUUGCAGUAUUAAUACAUGUUCGUGUCCCAUAAACAGGAAUUUUGGUCAAUUCUGUUUUGUGUGAUUGUCAUCAAAAAUGAAAAAGGAGACUCCGGUGCACUAUUACUGUGUGCAUCAAGUGCAUUUGUGAGAGAAGAGAACUUCCCCUUUGACCACGGGAACGGAAUCCUCCCCUUACAGUUUUAUAGGUCUCACGGUGAAAAGCCUUUCUCACAGGCUGGCAUCUGGCUCUGUACCUUUCAAACCUCUCUCUGUCUUCCCUACCACAUGUAGUAGUCUCUUCAGUGUUGGGCACCGGAGCAUGUGUUCAUGUGGUGUUUCCCCCGCUGAUGUGGCCGGUGUCGGGAGCUGGGUGGUGGGCACUUGGGUGCAGGAGUACUCGGGAGCUGUGUCUGCCCGGGAAGGUUUGCGGUAACUUGUCAUACGUGGGGGUGACUGCGAACCACAUCGAUCUCUCCUUCCAGAAGCUCAGUAUCUCACCUGUCUGACUCUUGCUUGGGCAUUCCCUGAAUGCCAAGGCCACUGUAACACCACACAACAGGAGGGCGGGCAUAACAGAAGGGAAACUGGGGUGGGGAGAAACAGGACUGUUUCUACUUGUGGUUGAGACUUGACUUUGGCAGAACUUAGAGAAACCCAAGACCAUGUGCACAUGUCUCUUUCCAGGGCCCUGGAAGGGGCUACUGUGAGCCAGGGCUCUGAAGCUCUAGCUCUGUGAGCUUCACAGUGACCUGGGUAGCUCUUGCUUGUAUUUGUGGUUAGAGAGAGCCACGCAGCCCAUUUAGAAGCUGUGUGACCUUGUCUCUUAUAAACAUGGGUCCCGCAGUAGUAAGCAUGAUACUGUUACUAAUAUUUACUUCACUGGGAAUGUAAACACGAGGGCGGGCGCCAGUCUGAUUGUUUAUUGCUGUGUUCACGGUGUCUAGAACACACAACCCACACUCAACAAAUACCUAUUUUGUGAAUUUCUUGAAAUGCGGGGUGUUGGGUGUUUAGCCCCAGGCUCUCAGAGAAAAGGAAACUGAGGCACAGUGUGCUUUCCUGUGCUCUACACUGCCCCUAGUUAGAUCCAAGGGAAACCCUGGGUGUGUGGACCCCCUUUCCCUCCCGCUGACCCUCUCACAUGUGCUGCAUAGGAAGGGGAAGCUUAACUCACUUCCAAGUGCCUGAGAUAAUCAUCGGAGUUAUUCCCUCUGUUAUGGACAUGAGCCAGGGUCCCUGGGUCUCAUCCCUGGAAUUUGCUCUGAUCCACAGAAUCCACUGUUCCAGAGAUUCUCCUGUCUUCUCCCCCUCCACUCCCGGCCCUAGAUCCCUGGGAAUGGUGGGAAGCAAGGAGACAGUUGAAAGAACAAAGGUGAAUGGUUUUGAGCCAUAAAAAAGUGAGCCUGAAAAACAAGUUUGGAAGAUGAAUGGCUUUGGGCUUGCAGAGCUUAGCAGGGGCAACCCUGAGAAUUGUUGACAUUCCCGCCCAAGAACUCCCGGAGGCCCUGCAUGAGCCACAGCCCAUGUCUGUGCAGCUCCCCCUCUAUUUGGGGAGGUCCUCAAGCAAAGCUAGAAGUCACCCUGUGCUGUGGAACGUUGGAGAUGAGGCCACAGGGGCCUCCUCAGUCAGUGGUCAUCUUGUCAUCACGUGACGGGAGCCGUGGUCUAAAGCGCCAGCUGGUUGCAGGUGGUCACUGUGCUAGAGACGCAGAGCCCGUGCCAGAAGUGCAGUCUGGGUCCUGUAGAUGGAGCAUGCCUCUUUGCCAUCCUCUGUCUGAUGUGGAUUUCCAGCCAAGCUCUGCACCGGCUCCCACCUCUGCUUUCUGCUAAGCUGCCCGGAUGGAUGGUGUGGGCCUGUCCUGGGAUGCUUCCCCUUUCUAGGGGGAGCUCAGGAAAACAUGAGGACGCUUACUGCUCUUGCAUCCCCCCUCCCCCCGUUAACAA